rnacentral:sRNA from 2 species
GGCUGCACUUCACCGCAGUGCACGGCAGGAGCGGGGGACCCACAGGUAAGUCGCCGAGCCCGGAGAUCCGGGACGGCUAGGGGCGAAGCCGCAUCCGUGCGGCCGGGCUACUCCCUGCCCGAACCCGACAGCUCACCUCGCAGGCGUCGGAGAGGAUUU